rnacentral:lncRNA from 1 species
GUCAGGUAUCCUCUUGGAGUUUUGGGCAAAUUCCUUAGCCUGUCAAAUGCUGUAUUCUCAGUUUUAUAGAACAAUGUAAUAAGUGUAUCUGCUUCAUCAAUUUAUUAUGAGAAUUAAAUGAGAAAAUGCCUAAAAAAUACUGCGUAUCAUCAUCACCAUCAUCUUCACCAUCACCAUCACCAUCAUCACCAUCACCAUCAUCAUCACCAUCACAUCAUCACCAUCACCAUCAUCACCAUCAUCACCAUUAUCAUCAUCAUUACCAUCAUCACCAUCACCAUCAUCACCAUCACCAUCAUCACCAUCACCAUCAUCACCAUCACCAUCAUCACCAUCAUCAUCAUCAUCACAUCACCAUCAUCAACCAUCAUCACCAGCACCAUCAUCACCAUCCAUCACCAUCAUCACCAUCAUCCACCAUCAUCACCAUCAUCACCAGCAUCACCAGCACCAUCAUCACCAUCAUCACCAGCACCAUCAUCACCAUUAUCAUCAUCAUCAUCACCAUCAUCACCAUCAAUCACCAUCAUCACAUCACCAUCACCAUCAUCAUCACCAUCACCAGCAUCACCAUCACCAGCAUCACCAUCAUCAUCAUUAUCAUUAUCAUCAUCACCAUCAUCACCAUCACCAUCACCAUCAUCACCAUCAUCACCAUCACCACCAUCAUCACCAUCAUCACCAUCACCAUCAUCACCAUCAUCACCAUCAUCACCAUCACCAUCACCAUCACCAUCAUUACCAUUAUCAUCAUCAUCACCAUCAUCACCAUCACCAUCAUCACCAUCACCGUCAUCACCAUCACCAUCACCAGCAUCACCAUCACCAUCAUCACCAUUAUCAUCAUCAUCAUCAUCAUCAUCAUCAGCACCAUCAUCCUUACUAUCAUCAUCAUCAUCAUAAUUUUUCUAUUACCACUUUGGUUUCAAGACAGAGAAUGAUUUUUAAAGGGAGAGGGAAAAUAAGAAAGAUAACCAGUUGUGAAUCUAUUGCAAUGUUCCAGAUGCGAAGUGAUAAAACCCUGAACAGAGA